rnacentral:rRNA from 1 species
UGAGCAAUCUGCCCUUCACUCGGGGAUAAGCCUCGGAAACGAGGUCUAAUACCCGAUACAACCAGCCUUCGCAUGAGGUGUUGGUGGAAAGUUUUGUCGGUGGAGGAUGUGCUCGCGGCCUAUCAGCUUGUUGGUGGGGUAACGGCCUACCAAGGCUUCGACGGGUAGCCGGCCUGAGAGGGUGACCGGCCUCACUGGGACUGAGACACGGCCCAGACUCCUACGGGAG